GGCAGAGAGACGUAUAUAUUAAGCGUGAAUCCUGCCAAUAACAUCUUAUUUCCUAAUACGCACACACACACAUAUGCACUACACACAUACCAUAUACACAUGUACACACACAUGCAUGCACACACAUGCAUUCACGCACAUACAUACACACAUGCACACACACACACACACUUCUUUACCCAUAGGUUGUAAUGCUAAAUGAAAUAAUAAGCUAAGGUGAGUUAUGUGUGCGAUUGAUGAGUGACCUGAAGUCAAUCAAGUAUGUGACUGAUGUGUGACUAGGGACCAUUUAUGCAUAUGAUUGAUGAGUGACCAGAAGCCAGUUAUAUGUGUGACUGAAUGGUGCGUGUGAAUAACCUGAAGUCACUUAGGUGUGAGUGAGUGGUGAGUGACCUGAGGUCAAUCAAGUACGUGACUGAUGUGUGACUAGGGACCAUUUAUGCAUAUGAUUGAUGAGUGACCAGAGGCCAGUUAUAUGUGUGACUGAAUGGUGCGUGUGAAUAACCUGAAGUCACUUAGGUGUGAGUGGGUGGUGAGUGACCUGAGGUCAAUCAAGUACGUGACUGAUGUGUGACU
rnacentral:lncRNA from 1 species